rnacentral:tRNA from 4 species
ACUCUUUUAGUAUAACUAAUAUUACUGACUUCCAAUUAGUAGAUUUCAGCAUAACCUGAAAAAGAGUA